CAGUAUUAUACACCUAUUGACUGGGUGUGAGGGUAAUAGCAAGUUUGUUGUCCCUGAGGUACCAACUAUUGCUCGAGGCAAAGCCGAGAGCAAUAGUUGGUAUGCGAAGGGACAACAAACUUGCUAUUACCCGCACACCCAGUCAUUAGGUGUUUUAUUAUACUGAACAACACAGCCAUUAAGUAUUUUAUAUAUAUACCAAAUAAAUAAUUUUCUAAAAGUGUAUAUAUAUAUCAUCUGAAAGAAAACAAAAAUGUCACAUAACUUUAUAUGCACAUGAUGAACUAUACUUUUUUUUAUAAUUCGUUUUGUAUUAAUAAAUAUUUCAUUAAUUUCAAUCAAGACAAGAAAUACUUAUGUUAAACUUUCUGUGCUUAAAAAAAAUUCUAGCUAAAAUACACCAAACGCAAAUUCACUUUUUAUAUACGGAGAGCGAACCCAUAUUAAGAAUAAGGUACUAUAUUUUAGAUCUUUAAAAAAUUCCCAGUGAAGAUUUUUUUUUCUUUUUUAUAAUUGCUUCUUAUAAGUGAAAUUACAAUCAACACAAACAGAUUCCAUCGUUUACAAUAUUAGCGGGAGUUUGACGUUGCAAAGCAUACGUAACCAAGCAGAGUAGUCAAUGACAUCAUUAUCGUCCAAUGAAAAAUAAGCAUGAAAAGUACGGGAAAGAUGAUUAUGAAACUAUUAACCGGUGUAAUAGUCUUUGAAACUAUUGACUGGCAAAUGGUUCUGUGGAAUGAAAUAGCACAACUAUUUCAUUACUUUUUAUAUAGAAAAAACACACUGAAGUAUAAUAA
rnacentral:lncRNA from 1 species